GAUGAACGCUGGCGGCGUGCUUAACACAUGCAAGUCGAACGGAAAGGCCCUGCCUUUGUGGGGUACUCGAGUGGCGAACGGGUGAGUAACACGUGAGUAAUCUGCCCUUCACUUUGGGAUAACUCUAGGAAACUGGGGCUAAUACCGGAUAGGAGCUUGUGCUGCAUGGUGGGGGUUGGAGAGUUUCGGCGGUUGGGGAUGGGCUCGCGGCUUAUCAGCUUGUUGGUGGGGUAGUGGCCUACCAAGGCGUGGACGGGUAGCCGGCCUGAGAGGGUGACCGGCCACAUUGGGACUGAGAUACGGCCCAGACUCCUACGGGAGGCAGCAGUGGGGAAUAUUGCACAAUGGGCGGAAGCCUGAUGCAGCAACGCCGCGUGGGGGAUGACGGCCUUCGGGUUGUAAACCGCUUUCGCCAGUGACGAAGCGUGAGUGGCGGUAAUGGGUAAAGAAGCACCGGCUAACUACGUG
rnacentral:rRNA from 1 species